rnacentral:rRNA from 1 species
UCAGUAACGGCGAGUGAGCGGUAACAGCUCAAAUUUGAAAUCUGGCUCUUUCAGGGUCCGAGUUGUAAUUUGUAGAAGAUGCUUUGGGUGUGGCCCCGGUCUAAGUUCCUUGGAACAGGACGUCAUAGAGGGUGAGAAUCCCGUAUGUGACUGGGUGCUUUCGCCCGUGUAAAGCUCUUUCGACGAGUCGAGUUGUUUGGGAAUGCAGCUCUAAAUGGGUGGUAAAUUUCAUCUAAAGCUAAAUAUUGGCCAGAGACCGAUAGCGCACAAGUAGAGUGAUCGAAAGAUGAAAAGCACUUUGGAAAGAGAGUUAAACAGUACGUGAAAUUGUUGAAAGGGAAGCGCUUGCAACCAGACUCGCAUGCCGUCGAUCAUCCUGAGUUCUCUCUGGUGCACUCGGCGGUAUUCGGGCCAGCAUCGGUUCGGGUGGUGGGAUAAAGGCCUUGGGAAUGUAGCUUCUUUCGGGGAGUGUUAUAGCCCUCGGUGCAAUGCCGCCUACCUGGACCGAGGACCGCGCUCGGCU